UUGUUAAUAACUUUGAAUCAAAGAAAGGCAUUUCGUACAAAUUUAAAAUCCAAUCAACUUUAUCUGGUAAAAUUUAUACAUCGAGUAUUGAUGACUGUUUGCAUUUUCAAACUAAUAAUGCCAAUUCAAGAUAUGUUAUAACAUGUAAAACUGGGUAUUAUUUAUGCCUUGGAAUCGCUUAUGGAGAUUCAUUACCAGAGGAAGAUAAAAAUGGAAUGGAUUGCAUGUUGUUCGACAACUCAGAUCGCAAUUCAACUAAACUAUUGGCAGAAGUUUCUUUACGAGAAAUAAGGGAAUCUUAUUUCAAUUUGAAUGGAAGUCGAUUCAACUAUUCCGAUAUUAAAUUUGCUGUUGUUGAUGUGACUAUUGAAGAUGAUAUAAAAUCCGUUGAAAAGAAACCAAAAGAAGAAAUUAUUCGUCAAGAAAAGCCUAAAUUGAGCUUAACUCUCGUAUUUUUCAUCAUACUUUCCAUUAUUUCCAUAUUGAUCAAUAUUGUGAUAUUUGUUAAGUUUGCAUUAGACUAUAAACUGUCUCAACGUCCAAAUCGUCCUCUUGGUGAUUCAGUUUCAAUUAAAUUGAAUGACUUGAACAACUGAUUUUAUAAAACACAAUAUAUCAAAUGUUUGAAAUAUUACAGAAUAUGUUAUGAGAAAUUAAAUUUCAAAAUCAAUGCAGUUAUGUAUUCAUGUAUUCGCACUAAAAUUUCGAAUAAAAAGUACAAUCGAAA